rnacentral:rRNA from 1 species
CUUUCCNCGGUUUCUGUGUCGUAGCUAACGCAUUAAGCGCCCCGCCUGGGGAGUACGGCCGCAAGGCUAAAACUCAAAGGAAUUGACGGGGGCCCGCACAAGCGGCGGAGCAUGCGGAUUAAUUCGAUGCAACGCGAAGAACCUUACCAAGGCUUGACAUACACCGGAAACGGCCAGAGAUGGUCGCCCCCUUGUGGUCGGUGUACAGGUGGUGCAUGGUUGUCGUCAGCUCGUGUCGUGAGAUGUUGGGUUAAGUCCCGCAACGAGCGCAACCCUCGUUCUAUGUUGCCAGCGCGUUAUGGCGGGGACUCAUAGGAGACUGCCGGGGUCAACUCGGAGGAAGGUGGGGAUGACGUCAAAUCAUCAUGCCCCUUAUGUCUUGGGCUUCACGCAUGCUACAAUGGCCGGUACAAAGGGCUGCGAUACCGUAAGGUGGAGCGAAUCCCAAAAAGCCGGUCUCAGUUCGGAUUGAGGUCUGCAACUCGACCUCAUGAAGUCGGAGUCGCUAGUAAUCGCAGAUCAGCAACGCUGCGGUGAAUACGUUCCCGGGCCUUGUACACACCGCCCGUCAAGUCAUGAAAGUCGGUAACACCCGAAGCCGGUGGCCUAACCCUUGUGGAAGGAGCCGUCGAAGGUGGGAUCGGUGAUUAGGACUAAGUCGUAAC